rnacentral:sRNA from 1 species
UAUUCUGCCCUACAGGGAAGGAUGAGAAGCUUCGACUAAGGUUCGACUCGAGCGAAGCGAGAGAACGUUGCCGCAGGCAACGGCCCGAAGGGCGAGGCGCUUUAGCGCCGAGU